UAGGGAAUCUUCCGCAAUGGACGAAAGUCUGACGGAGCAACGCCGCGUGAGUGAUGAAGGUUUUCGGAUCGUAAAACUCUGUUGUUAGGGAAGAACAAGUAUCGGAGUAACUGCCGGUACCUUGACGGUACCUAACCAGAAAGCCACGGCUAACUACGUGCCAGCAGCCGCGGUAAUACGUAGGUGGCAAGCGUUGUCCGGAAUUAUUGGGCGUAAAGCGCGCGCAGGUGGUUCUUUAAGUCUGAUGUGAAAGCCCACGGCUCAACCGUGGAGGGUCAUUGGAAACUGGGGAACUUGAGUGCAGAAGAGGAAAGUGGAAUUCCAAGUGUAGCGGUGAAAUGCGUAGAGAUUUGGAGGAACACCAGGGGCGAAGGCGACUUUCUGGUCUGUAACUGACACUGAGGCGCGAAAGCGUGGGGAGCGAACAGG
rnacentral:rRNA from 1 species